rnacentral:rRNA from 1 species
UACGGAGGGUGCGAACGUUAAUCGGAAUUACUGGGCGUAAAGCGCGCGUAGGUGGUUCGGCAAGUGGGAUGUGAAAGCCCCGGGCUCAACCUGGGAAUUGCAUUCCAAACUAUCGAGCUAGAGUAUGGUAGAGGGAGGUAGAAUUUCCUGUGUAGCGGUGAAAUGCGUAGAUAUAGGAAGGAAUACCGGUGGCGAAGGCGGCCUCCUGGACCAAUACUGACACUGAGGUGCGAAAGCGUGGGGAGCAAACAGG